GACGAACGCUGGCGGCGUGCUUAACACAUGCCAGUCGAACGGAAAGGCCCUGCUUUUGUGGGGUUCUCGAGUGGCGAACGGGUGUGUAACACGUGAGUAACCUGCCCUUGACUUUGGGAUAACUUCAGGAAACUGGGGCUAAUACCGGAUAGGAGCUCCUGCUGCUUGGUGGGGGUUGGAAAGUUUCGUCGGUUGGGAAUGGACUCGCGGCUUUUCAGCUUGUUGGUGGGGUAGUGGCUUACCAAGGCUUUGACGGGUAGCCGGCCUGAGAGGGUGACCGGCCACAUUGGGACUGAGAUACGGCCCAGACUCCUACGGGAGGCAGCAGUGGGGAAUAUUGCACAAUGGGCGGAAGCCGGAUGCAGCAACGCGGCGUGCGGGAUGACGCCCUUCGGGUGGUAAACCGCUUUCGUCUGUGACGAAGUGUGAGUGACGGUAAUGGGUAAAGAAGCACCGGCUAACUACGUG
rnacentral:rRNA from 1 species